rnacentral:rRNA from 1 species
UACGUAGGGACCAAGCGUUGUCCGGAAUCAUUGGGCGUAAAGCGCGCGUAGGUGGCUUCGUAAGUCCGUUGUGAAAGUCAAAGGCUCAACCUUUGAAAGCCGAUGGAUACUGCUGAGCUAGAGUACGGAAGAGGCGAGUGGAAUUCCUGGUGUAGCGGUUGGAAUGCGCAGAUAUCAGGAGGAACACCAAUAGCGAAGGCAGCUCGCUGGGGACGUUACUGACACUAAGGCGCGAAAGCGUGGGGA